GAGGGUAUAGCUCAGUGGUACAGUGUGUGCCUAGCAUACACAAGGUCCUGGGUUCAAUCCCCCGUACCUCCA
rfam:Camelus ferus unplaced genomic scaffold scaffold698, whole genome shotgun sequence.